rnacentral:sRNA from 1 species
ACUUGGACCCCUGCCAUAUACAUAAGCAGCAAUCUCUCCAGAUUUUGUAUAUAGAUGUUCGGGCUUGGGUGCAAACGGCUAUUGGCAAAACUGGCCCGUUAUGAUUAGUUCACUCCGUGCCAUAUUAUUCUAAGUUAUCCAAGCUUGGAACGAGCUAGUGGCACCUGGAAAUUCUGAUCACCAGGGCUCCAAAAGAUGGGUUUUGGAACUAUUUCACAUCAUUCACAAACGUUCAUUGGCAGCCUUAACUUUCAAGAGGCCUAUGCUCAUCCUCGCAUUGCAUGCCACGAUGACGCUUUCCCAUACUAUUAGUAUGUUCUGAAGUUUUGACAAAAGCUGAUUAGGCGGAUAGCAACAAUAAAGGUAUUUUGUUCGAUGCCGAUAUGAGUUCCCAGGCCUAAACAGCCGACGGCAAUGGCACACAUAAAUACCUAGAUACGCCAACUAACACAUUGAAUCAAAACUCAAAAUUCAGAAGGAGGGGUUCUUUGCGUUCCAUUUGUUCAGGCCCAUUGAACUACUGCCUGUUCCUCACGAACCUACAAUAUGGCACGAAUGAUAGAGUUGAAGAGGGUGGGAUCAUCAACCGGAUCACGUCCUAGGCAAUUCAAAUUCCUUUCUUCUUGUGCAUUGAUUGUGGCAAAGAUAAGGCGGGAAUGGCUCAGUGGUUCCACCGAAUCAAAGGAGGCGAAAAGUUAAGGGAAAGAGAAUAGCCAAAUCUCCUUUUCCCCAAACCGCAUUUUUCGCCAUUGUUGGUGUUGAAUCUGCUUGGCAAACUGG